rnacentral:tRNA from 1 species
GCGGUUGUAGCUCAGUCAGGUCAGAGCGUCGCCUUGCCAUGGCGAAGGUCCCGGGUUCGAAUCCCGGUUGCCGCUCC